CUGUUUCAGUGAUGGGAGUAAACACUGUGCAGUGGGUGUCUCUUCUAGUUCAGAUGUUCUCUGGACUGAGAUCACCUGGUAUGUUUUUUUUCCAGAAGGCUGCUAAGGCAGCCCAGGAGAAGAGACACUCGCCUAUGGGGACAUGAACCACGAGUGGAUCGGCAACGAGUGGCUCCCCAGCCUGGGCCUACCCCAGUACCGCAGCUACUUCAUGGAGUGCCUUGUAGACGCUAGGAUGCUGGACCACUUGACCAAGAAAGACCUUCGAGGGCAGCUGAAAAUGGUUGACAGUUUUCACAGAAACAGUUUCCAGUGUGGAAUUAUGUGCCUGAGAAGGUUAAAUUAUGACCGGAAAGAA
rnacentral:sRNA from 1 species